GGGGUUGUGGCUCAGUGGUAGAGUGCUUGCCUAGCACAUGCAAGGCCCUAGGUUCGAUCCUCAGCACCA
rnacentral:tRNA from 1 species